rnacentral:rRNA from 1 species
GGCCUGCGCGGAAGAUGUAACGGGGCUAAACCAUGCACCGAAGCUGCGGCAGCGAACGUAUCACCCAAGACAACUUUACGGAGUUGACGAUUGACGGAGCGAAGCGACGUCAAAGCGUUCAUUAAAGUCGAGUUGGCUUAGGGAUACGUUCGUUGGGUAGGGGAGCGUUCUGUAAGCCUGUGAAGGUGUGUCGUGAGGCAUGCUGGAGGUAUCAGAAGUGCGAAUGCUGACAUAAGUAACGAUAAAGCGGGUGAAAAGCCCGCUCGCCGGAAGACCAAGGGUUCCUGUCCAACGUUAAUCGGGGCAGGGUGAGUCGACCCCUAAGGCGAGGCCGAAAGGCGUAGUCGAUGGGAAACGGGUUAAUAUUCCCGUACUUGGUGUUACUGCGAAGGGGGGACGGAGAAGGCUAUGUUGGCCGGGCGACGGUUGUCCCGGUUUAAGCGUGUAGGUGUGUGUUCCAGGUAAAUCCGGUUCACUUUAACACUGAGGCGUGACGACGAGGCACUACGGUGCUGAAGCAACAAAUGCCCUGCUUCCAGGAAAAGCCUCUAAGCAUCAGGUAACACGAAAUCGUACCCCAAACCGACACAGGUGGUCAGGUAGAGAAUACCAAGGCGCUUGAGAGAACUCGGGUGAAGGAACUAGGCAAAAUGGUGCCGUAACUUCGGGAGAAGGCACGCUGACACGUAGGUGAAGUGAUUUACUCAUGGAGCUGAAGUCAGUCGAAGAUACCAGCUGGCUGCAACUGUUUAUUAAAAACACAGCACUGUGCAAACACGAAAGUGGACGUAUACGGUGUGACGCCUGCCAGGUGCCGGAAGGUUAAUUGAUGGGGUCAGCGCAAGCGAAGCUCCUGAUCGAAGCCCCGGUAAACGGCGGCCGUAACUAUAACGGUCCUAAGGUAGCGAA